AUGACACAAGCUGGUAGACUGUUACUGGUCAAAUCUAUUCUGGCAUCUUUACCAAUCUUUUUUCAUGUGUUGCUUGGAUAUACCACAGACCAUCAAAAACAAAUUGCAAAAUAUCUUAAACACUGUCUCUGGAGAGGAUCAGACAUGGAAGAUCACAGGCCAGCAAUGGUUGCUUGGAGUGUGGUGUGUAGACCUAAAAAUCAAGGAGGCCGGGGAAUUUGCAACUUAAGUGUGCACAACAAUGUUCUUCUGCUGAAAAACUUGCACAAACUCCUUAACAAACACAACAUUCCAUGGGUAAAUUUGAUUUGGGAAACUUAUUACAGUAAUGGCAUGUUGCCUGGUCAAAACAUGGUUGGAUCUUUUUGGUGGAAGAUAAAUUUGAAACUGCUUGACUUAUUCAAAUCCAUGGCCAUAUGCAAUAUUGGUGAUUGGAAGUCUGCUCUAUUCUGGACUGAUCAAUGGCACUCUACAUGUCCAUUUCAAUGCCUGCCUCACUUAUUCUCUUUUACAAAGAAUACUCUAUUAUCAGUUUAG
rnacentral:rRNA from 1 species